rnacentral:rRNA from 1 species
UAUGUGAUCGUCUCUCGCAUAUCAAUAAGCGGAGGAAAAGAAACUAACAAGGAUUCCCCUAGUAACGGCGAGUGAAGCGGGAAGAGCUCAAAUUUGAAAUCUUAAAGGGUUUCCCUUUACGAAUUGUAGUUUAAAGAAGUGUUUUCUGUUGAGGUUUUGGUAAAAGUUCUUUGGAAUAGGACAUCAUAGAGGGUGAGAAUCCCGUAUUUGACCUUUACUUUCAACUUUGUGAUACACUUUCAAAGAGUCGGAUUGUUUGGGAAUGCAGUCCAAAAUGGGUGGUAAAUUUCAUCUAAAGCUAAAUAUUGGCGAGAGACCGAUAGCGAACAAGUACCGUGAGGGAAAGAUGAAAAGAACUUUGAAAAGAGAGUUAAACAGUACGUGAAAUUGUCAAAAGGGAAGCGUUUGACACCAGUGUUGUUUUUCUGAAAAUCAAUUAAAGAACUGUUUAUGCUAAGCUGUUUAGACUUUAUCAGCUAUCUGUUUAGUUUUGAGCUUUUCUUUAAUGCACUUUUCAGUUAACAAGUCAACAUCAAUUUCUUUUGCUGUAAAAAAGCUUGAGGAAGGUGGCUUGAGAUUCGUCUUAAGUGUUUAUAGCCUCUUGCCUAUGCAGUCGGAGAGAUUGAGGUCUGCAGCGUAGAUCCUUCGGGGCUAAAUGCAUUUGUGCUAAGUUAUAGCAUUUUGUAGACAACUUGUUGACUAUGAUUUGUCUUGUAGCUUACUCGCUUAUGUUAUUUUACCUACGCUUAGGAUGUUGAUCUGUAGUGCGUGCGC